rnacentral:rRNA from 1 species
UCUCCAGACUCCUACGGGAGGCAGCAGUGGGGGAUAUUGGACAAUGGGGGGAACCCUGAUCCAGCGACGCCGCGUGAGUGAAGAAGUAUUUCGGUAUGUAAAGCUCUGUCAGCAGGGAAGAAGAAAGUGACGGUACCUGACCAAGAAGCCCCGGCUAACUACGUGCCAGCAGCCGCGGUAAUACGUAGGGGGCAAGCGUUAUCCGGAAUUACUGGGUGUAAAGGGAGCGUAGACGGUAAUGUAAGUCUGGAGUGAAAGGCGGGGGCCCAACCCCCGGACUGCUCUGGAAACUAUGUUACUGGAGUGCAGGAGAGGUAAGCGGAAUUCCUAGUGUAGCGGUGAAAUGCGUAGAUAUUAGGAGGAACACCAGUGGCGAAGGCGGCUUACUGGACUGUAACUGACGUUGAGGCUCGAAAGCGUGGGGAGCAAACAGGAUUAGAUACCCGGGUAACU